rnacentral:rRNA from 1 species
UACGUAGGGUGCAAGCGUUUGUCCGGAAUUAUUGGGCGUAAAGAGCUCGUAGGCGGUCUGUCGCGUCUGCUGUGAAAACUCGGGGCUUAACCCCGAGCCUGCAGUGGAUACGGGCAGACUAGAGGUAGGUAGGGGAGAAUGGAAUUCCCGGUGUAGCGGUGAAAUGCGAGACAGAUAUAGGAGGAACACCGGUGGCGAAGGCGGGUCUCUGGGCCGAUACUGACGCUGAGGAGCGAAAGCGUGGGGAGCGAACAGG